CAGCAGCCGCCGCGGGAAUACGAAGGGUGCAAGCGUUACUCGGAAUUACUGGGCGUAAAGCGUGCGUAGGUGGUGGUUUAAGUCCGUUGUGAAAGCCCUGGGCUCAACCUGGGAAUUGCAGUGGAUACUGGAAGUCUUGAGUAUGGUAGAGGUGAGUGGAAUUCCGAGUGUAGAGGUGAAAUUCGUAGAUAUUCGGAGGAACACCAGUGGCGAAGGCGGCCAUCUGGGACAACACUGACGCUGAGGCACGAAAGCGUGGGGAGCAAACAGGAUUAGAUACCCGCGUAGUCCCUGUCUCUUAUAC
rnacentral:rRNA from 1 species